rnacentral:rRNA from 1 species
AGUGAACGCUGGCGGCGUGCUUAACACAUGCAAGUCGAACGAGAACGGGUUAUAGCUUGCUAUAAUUGUCAGCUAAGUGGCGCACGGGUGAGUAAUGUAUAGGUAAUAUGCCUCUUACUAAGGGAUAACAAAUGGAAACGUUUGCUAAUACCUUAUACUCCUUAUUAACAGAAGUUAAUAAGGGAAAGAUUUAUUGGUAAGAGAUUAGCCUGUAUUGUAUCAGUUAGUUGGUGGGGUAAUGGCUUACCAAGACUAUGACACAUGACUGGUUUGGGAGGAUGAUCAAUCACACUGGAAGUGAGACACGGUCCAGACUCCUACGUGAGGCAGCAGUGGGGAAUAUUGCACAAUGGACGAAAGUCUGAUGCAGCAACGCCGCGUGGAGGAUGACACAUUUCGGUGCGUAAACUCCUUUUAUAUGAGAAGAUAAUGACGGUAUUAUAUGAAUAAGCACCGGCUAACUCCGUGCCAGCCGCCGCGGUAAGAC